GAGAACCUAGUAAAUUAUUACAUAGUUCUGUCAGUACUAAAUUAUGAGCAAAACCCUCAUGGAUCUCA
rnacentral:tRNA from 1 species